rnacentral:rRNA from 1 species
AGUGAACGCUGGCGGUAGGCCUAACACAUGCAAGUCGAACGGCAGCACAGAGGAGCUUGCUCCUUGGGUGGCGAGUGGCGGACGGGUGAGGAUACAUCGGAAUCUACUCUGUCGGGGGGGAUAACGUAGGGAAACUUACGCUAAUACCGCAUACGACCUUCGGGUGAAAGCAGGGGACCUUCGGGCCUUGCGCGAUUGAAUGAGCCGAUGUCGGAUUAGCUAGUUGGCGGGGUAAAGGCCCACCAAGGCGACGAUCCGUAGCUGGUCUGAGAGGAUGAUCAGCCACACUGGAACUGAGACACGGUCCAGACUCCUACGGGAGGCAGCAGUGGGGAAUAUUGGACAAUGGGCGCAAGCCUGAUCCAGCCAUACCGCGUGGGUGAAGAAGGCCUUCGGGUUGUAAAGCCCUUUUGUUGGGAAAGAAAUCCAGCUGGCUAAUACCCGGUUGGGAUGACGGUACCCAAAGAAUAAGCACCGGCUAACUUCGUGCCAGCCGCCGCGGUAA